UUGGAGGGCAAGUCUGGUGCCAGCAGCCGCGGUAAUUCCAGCUCCAAUAGCGUAUAUUAAAGUUGUUGCAGUUAAAAAGCUCGUAGUUGAAUUUCGGGAUUAGUACGCUGGUCGUGCCUUCGGUACGUACUGGUGUUACUGAUUUCUACCUUCUGACGAACCAUCAUGUCAUUAAUUUGGUGUGGUGGGGAAUCAGGACUGUUACUUUGAAAAAAUUAGAGUGUUUAAAGCAGGCUCGCGCUUGAAUACAUUAGCAUGGAAUAAUGAAAUAGGACGUUGAUCCUAUUUUGUUGGUUUCUAGGAUUGACGUAAUGAUUAAUAGGGAUAGUUGGGGGCAUUAGUAUUCAAUUGUCAGAGGUGAAAUUCUUGGAUUUAUUGAAGACUAACUACUGCGAAAGCAUUUGCCAAGGAUGUUUUCAUUAAUCAAGAACGAAAGUUAGGGGAUCGAAGACGAUCAAAUACCGUCGUAGUCUUAACCAUAAACUAUGCCGACUAGGGAUCGGAUGAUGUUAUUUUUAAUGACUCAUUCGGCGCCUUACGGGAAAC
rnacentral:rRNA from 1 species